rnacentral:rRNA from 1 species
GACGAACGCUGGCGGCGUGCCUAAUACAUGCAAGUAGAACGCACAGUUUAUACCGUAGCUUGCUACACCAUAGACUGUGAGUUGCGAACGGGUGAGUAACGCGUAGGUAACCUGCCUGGUAGCGGGGGAUAACUAUUGGAAACGAUAGCUAAUACCGCAUAAUAUUGAUUAUUGCAUGAUAAUUGAUUGAAAGAUGCUAUUGCAUCACUACCAGAUGGACCUGCGUUGUAUUAGCUAGUAGGUGAGGUAACGGCUCACCUAGGCGACGAUACAUAGCCGACCUGAGAGGGUGAUCGGCCACACUGGGACUGAGACACGGCCCAGACUCCUACGGGAGGCAGCAGUAGGGAAUCUUCGGCAAUGGACGAAAGUCUGACCGAGCAACGCCGCGUGAGUGAAGAAGGUUGUCGGAUCGUAAAGCUCUGCUGUAAGAGAAGAACGGGUGUGAGAGUGGAAAGUUCACACUGUGACGGUAUCUUACCAGAAAGGGACGGCUAACUACGUG